GGCGCCGUGGCUCAAAGGAGUAGAGUGCUGGCUCCAUAUGCCGGAGGUGGCGGGUUCAAAUCCAGUCCCAGCCA
rnacentral:tRNA from 1 species